UUAAGUGAAUAAGGGCGUACGGUGGAUGCCUAGGCACUUGGAACUGAAGAAGGACGCAACAAACGGCGAAACGCGACGGGGAGUGGUACGUACACAAAGAUCCGUCGAUAUCCGAAUGGGGAAACCCGGCAGCAGUAAUGAGCUGUCACCCAUGAGUGAAUACAUAGCUCAUGAGGGAGGUACCCGGAGAACUGAAACAUCUAAGUAUCCGGAGGAAAAGAAAAUAAGAAUGAUUCCGUAAGUAGCGGCGAGCGAACGCGGAGGAGCCCAAACCAGAUCUUGAUCUGGGGUUGUAGGACCACGAAAUGGCAAGAGCAUGGCUAAGAGAACGGCAUUGAAAGGCCGACCGGAGAGGGUGCAAGUCCCGUAACUGAAAGUCUAGCGAAGCCUAGUGGUAUCCUGAGUACGGCGAGACACGAGAAAUCUUGUCGGAAGCAGGCGGGACCAUCCGUCAAGGCUAAAUAUACCCAAGUGACCGAUAGUGAACCAGUACCGUGAGGGAAAGGUGAAAAGAACCGCGGGAGCGGAGUGAAAUAGAACCUGAAACCGUAUGCUUACAAGAAGUCAGAGCCCGUUAAAGGGUGAUGGCGUGCCUUUUGUAGAAUGAACCGGCGAGUUACUGUAUGGAGCGAGGUUAAGCAGGAUAUGCGGAGCCGAAGCGAAAGCGAGUCUUAAGAGGGCGAAAGUUGCAUGCAGUAGACCCGAAACCGGGUGAUCUAGCCAUGACCAGGUUGAAGUUGGGGUAAAACCCGAUGGAGGACCGAACCGACCCCCGUUGAAACGUUGGCGGAUGAGUUGUGGCUAGGGGUGAAAUUCCAAUCGAACCCGGAGAUAGCUGGUUCUCCCCGAAAUAGCUUUAGGGCUAGCGUCGAGGUAGAGAGUUGCGUGAAGGUAGAGCACUGAAUAUGUGAUGGCCCCAUCUCGGGGUACUGAGCAUAAUCAAACUGCGAAUGUCACGGAAACAUACUCGGCAGUCAGACAGCGGGUGAUAAGGUCCGUUGUCAAGAGGGAAACAGCCCAGACCAUCAGCUAAGGUCCCAAAAUGUAUGCUAAGUGGAAAAGGAUGUGGAGAUGUACAGACAACUAGGAGGUUGGCUCAGAAGCAGCCAUCCUUUAAAGAGUGCGUAACAGCUCACUAGUCGAAUGACUCUGCGCCGAUAAUUUACCGGGGCUAAGCAUACUACCGAAGCUAUGGAUCCCAAGGGAUGGUAGGGGAGCGUUCCAUGAACGGAGAAGCGCGAUCGAGAGGACGCGUGGAGAUCAUGGAAGAGAGAAUGCCGGUGUGAGUAGCGGAACGUGGGUGAGAAUCCCACGCACCGAAAACCCAAGGUUUCCAGAGGAAGGUUCGUCCGCUCUGGGUAAGUCGGGACCUAAGGCGAGGCCGAGAGGCGUAGUCGAUGGACAACAGGUAGAGAUUCCUGUACUCAUAUAUAUGUGAAGGAAUGACGGAGAGAGGAAGCUGCAGCCAGCGGCUGGAAGAGCUGGUGCAAGCGAGAUAUCGGGAUGGCAGGCAAAUCCACCAUCCGAAACGAGAAGGCGUGAAGCGUACGGAAAGCUAAGGCGAGUACGGAAGGCAGUGGAGGAGCUUCCAAGAAAAGUUUCUAACGAAAGUAUAUGUGACCCGUACCGAAAAUGGACACACAUGGGUGAGGAGAGAAUCCUAAGGUGAGCGAGAGAACUAUAGCUAAGGAACUCUGCAAAAUGACUCCGUAACUUAGGGAGAAGGAGUGCUCAUAGAGAUAUGAGCCGCAGUGAAACGGCCCAAGCGACUGUUUACCAAAAACACAGCUCUAUGCUAAGUCGAAAGACGACGUAUAUGGGGUGACGCCUGCCCGGUGCUGGAAGGUUAAGAGGAUGUGUCAGCGCAAGCGAAGCAUUGAAUUGAAGCCCCAGUAAACGGCGGCCGUAACUAUAACGGUCCUAAGGUAGCGAAAUUCCUUGUCAGGUAAGUUCUGACCCGCACGAAAGGCGUAACGAUUUGGGCGCUGUCUCAGCUGUAGACUCGGUGAAGUCUUAGUACCUGUGAAGAUGCAGGUUACCCGCGACUAGACGGAAAGACCCCAUGGAGCUUUACUGUAGCUUGAUAUUGGACUUUGAUGCAAGAUGUACAGGAUAGGUAGGAGACUGAGAGACAUGCACGCCAGUGUGUGAGGAGUCAAUGUUGGGAUACUACUCUUCUUGUAUUGGAGUUCUAACCGGAUGCCAUGGAACUGGCAACGGGACAGUGUCAGGUGGGCAGUUUGACUGGGGCGGUCGCCUCCCAAAGAGUAACGGAG
rnacentral:rRNA from 1 species